GAAACUUUGAUGUAAGAGAAAUUGGAAUAAUCUUUGGUAAACUAUGGGAGAUGCAGGACAGAAGCAUCAGGCACACACAUUUCAGACUUCUGAGAAAGGAGGAAACCUUCAGCCAGAGCCACUGCCUGGGAACUGGUCUCUGGCCUGCAUCCUCUGAUCCAGUUCUGCAUUUCCUGGGGCAGGAUGGUCAGGAACUGCUCCAGGAUCACCAGGUCCAGCAUCUGCUUCUUGGUGUGCAUCUCUGGCUUCAGCCAGUGGUUGCAAAGUCCAUGGAGCUGGCUGCAAAGUUCUCGGAUUCCAUUGGCCUCAUGGUAACGGAACUGCCGAAAGCGUUGCCUGUGUACAUCAGAGUUCGUAGUGUCUUGAUCCAGGACCUCUGGCACAGCUCUUUCCCAGAAUUCAACACCACUCCCUGUUGGGAUUGGAUGGGGGCCUUUCCUUGAUCUCUUGCCAAUUCCAGGUCCUUCUUUCUCUUCCAUCUCCUUCCCCUUCUCUUGGGUUGCCUCUGACUGUGAAAAGAUAAAUACCCUCAUUGAUGUGGCUAUGAAAAGGAAGAGGAAAAGAUGUCAAAAGCAGUGAGAAACAAAGAGGAGAGAUCCACAUCAGCGACCCUGGUCAGGAGACAUCUAAGAGCUACUCCGGUGGAUUAAAAGAUGCACCAUUGUAAUAAUUUGUGGGUCAGGAUUAAUGUCAUUGUGCUGUGUUAUGCAUGAAGAUUUUUUUUAGAUAUACUUGUUUUGUUCUUUGGGAGAGUAAAAAUCUGUUAUGGAAGUUA